rnacentral:rRNA from 1 species
UAAACGACUCUCGGCAACGGAUAUCUUGGCUCUCGCAUCGAUGAAGAACGUAGCGAAAUGCGAUACUUGGUGUGAAUUGCAGAAUCCCGUGAACCAUCGAGUUUUUGAACGCAAGUUGCGCCCGAANCCUUUNGGCCAGGGCACGUCUGCCUGGGCGUCACGC